AUGAAAGACAUCAAUGAUGAUACAAACAGAUGGAAAGACAUACCAUGCUCUUGGAUUGGAAGAGUCAACAAUGACCAUACUACCCAAGGCAAUCUAAAGAUUCAAUGUGAUCCCUAUCAAAUUACCAAAACUUUUUUCACAGAAUUAGAACAUGGCGUUGGGGGUGGGGGGGUGAGCUAUAGUAGCCCAGAGGUACUCUUGGGGAGCUUUGUGGAAGGAGGAAAGCCUGCUAAGCAGACCCCAGGAAGUGACCUCACUUCCCUGGCAAUAGAGCCCAAAGGAACUUGGAACCUACUUCUCCAGGAAACAACAGAGGAGGGAUGGACUGUGUCCCAUCCCCCCAAGGCUGUAGCAGAGACAAUAUCUGCAAAACCAGCAGAAAAUGGAUCAGAACUCAGGGCAGACAUCUAUGGGCCUUUGCCCACAGGAACCCAGAGAACUGCCCAUCUGAGACCCACCACGAGCUGAGUGAGGAAGGCAGAAGGCCUCCAGAUGAAACUCCACGUAAGCCGCUACCCAGGGUCCUUUGCCAGGCUCAUAGGGAGCUCAGCACAUCCGGCUCUGGCACAGAGAACAGAGUCCACCUGUGCCUGAGUCUGCUGGAUGGCCUGGCCCCCCCAAGGCCCAGCCUGAAGCUCCAGCAGGAGACCUGGAGCCAGAGGCAAGACACAACCCAGGCAGGGCAAACAUGGAGCUGCUCCUGCAGGAGGCCCAGGUCCGCAUGAGGACUCAGCACCUGGGCAGGGAGAACCUGCAGCUGCUCUGGCAGCAGCCCCAGACACUGAUGUGCGUUUACCUCCGCUGGAGGGAAAUGUUGCACCAGCUCCUGCAGGAGACCAAGGGCCAGAGGAGAAUUCAGCAGCCCUGCAGGAAGAGCCUGCACUGACUGCUGCAGACGCCCCCAUACUAGGUCCUGUGCUGGCUCUUGCAAGAGCCCUGGGCCAGUUUCCAAAACCACCUUCCACAAGGUCACCUCUGCCCCCACAAGCGCCCUUCCCAUCAGCUCCCCCAAAACCACAUCCACCUGCUCCCCCUCCUGUAAUUUACUCCCCUGCCCCCCUCAUGAUUUGUUUUUGGAUGUUUG
rnacentral:lncRNA from 9 species